rnacentral:rRNA from 1 species
AAUUAACGCUGGCGGCAUGCCUAACACAUGCAAGUCGCACGAGAAAGCCCGGUUCGCCGGGCGAGUAAAGUGGCGCACGGGUGAGUAACGCGUGGAUAAUCUACCUCAUUCUGGGGGAUAACGCACCGAAAGGUGCGCUAAUACCGCAUAACCCGGUUGAUUUUCGGAUUGACCGGUAAAGGUGGCCUCUUGAUCAAAGCUACCGGGAAGAGAUGAGUCCGCGUCCCAUUAGCUAGUUGGUGGGGUAAUGGCCUACCAAGGCGACGAUGGGUAGCUGGUCUGAGAGGACGAUCAGCCACACUGGAACUGGAACACGGUCCAGACUCCUACGGGAGGCAG